rnacentral:rRNA from 1 species
UACGUAGGGCGCAAGCGUUGUCCGGAAUUAUUGGGCGUAAAGGGCUCGUAGGCGGUUUGUCGCGUCGGGAGUGAAAACUCAGGGCUUAACCCUGAGCCUGCUUCCGAUACGGGCAGACUAGAGGUAUGCAGGGGAGAACGGAAUUCCUGGUGUAGCGGUGAAAUGCGCAGAUAUCAGGAGGAACACCGGUGGCGAAGGCGGUUCUCUGGGCAUUGCCUGACGCUGAGGAGCGAAAGUGUGGGGAGCGAACAGG